UGGGGAAUAUUGCACAAUGGGGGAAACCCUGAUGCAGCAACGCCGCGUGGAGGAAGAAGGUCUUCGGAUUGUAAACUCCUGUCUUCUGGGACGAAGAAUGACGGUACCAGAGGAGGAAGCCACGGCUAACUACGUGCCAGCAGCCGCGGUAAUACGUAGGUGGCGAGCGUUGUCCGGAAUUACUGGGCGUAAAGGGCGCGUAGGCGGCCUGUUAAGUCAGAUGUGAAAACCCCGGGCUCAACCUGGGGACUGCAUUUGAAACUGAUGGGCUAGAGUGUCGGAGAGGGAAGCGGAAUUCCUAGUGUAGCGGUGAAAUGCGUAGAUAUUAGGAGGAACACCAGUGGCGAAGGCGGCUUUCUGGACGAUAACUGACGCUGAGGCGCGAAAGCGUGGGGAGCAAACAGG
rnacentral:rRNA from 1 species